UACGUAGGGGGCAAGCGUUGUCCGGAAUUAUUGGGCGUAAAGCGCGCGCAGGCGGUUCUUUAAGUCUGGUGUCUAAGUGCGGGGCUCAACCCCGUGUCGCACUGGAAACUGGGGAACUUGAGUGCAGAAGAGGAGAGCGGAAUUCCACGUGUAGCGGUGAAAUGCGUAGAGAUGUGGAGGAACACCAGUGGCGAAGGCGGCUCUCUGGACUGUAAACUGGACGCUGAAGGUGCGAAAGCCGUGGGGAGCAAACAGG
rnacentral:rRNA from 1 species